rnacentral:rRNA from 2 species
AGCUCCAAUAGCGUAUAUUAAAGUUGUUGCAGUUAAAAAGCUCGUAGUUGAAUUUCUGGUGGGAGUGUACAGUCCGACACUGAGUGUUGGUUCUUGUAUGUCUCCGGCCAUCCUUGGAGUGAAUCUGUCUGGCAUUCAGUUGUUGGGCAGAGUAUCUCCAUCGUUUACUGUGAGGAAAUGAAAGUGUUCAAAGCAGGCUUAUGCCGUUGAAUCUUUUAGCAUGGAAUAAUAAGAUAGGAUCUUGAUACUAUUUUGUUGGUUUGCGUGUUAAGAUAAUGAUGAAUAGGGACAGUUGGGGGUAUUUGUAUUCCAUAGUCAGAGGUGAAAUUCUUGGAUUUAUGGAAGACAAACUAAUGCGAAAGCAUCUACCAAGGAUGUUUUCAUUA